rnacentral:tRNA from 1 species
GUCUCUGUGGCGCAAUCGGUUAGCGCGUUCGGCUGUUGACUGAAAGGUUGGUGGUUCAAGCCCACCCAGGGACA